UAAAGUGCGAUAUCUAGUGCGAUUUGCAUGAACCUGUGAGUCAUCGAGUUUUUGAACGCAACUUGCACCCGUAAGGGUAUGUCCCUUUGAGUAUAGAACCAAUAUAUAUGUUGGGUGAUGUAUAAAAGCUCACCUUAAAGGUAGCGUUAAGGUUCAAAGGAACAGUAGCCACACUUCAGUUAAUGGCUGUCCUACUAGUCCUACUCAUUAUCCUGUCUCAAAGGGGCAAGAUCACCCGCUGAACUUAA
rnacentral:misc_RNA from 1 species